CAGUCGCCGCGGGAAUACGAAGGGGGCUAGCGUUGCUCGGAAUGACUGGGCGUAAAGGGCGCGUAGGCGGCUGUUACAGUCAGACGUGAAAUUCCUGGGCUCAACCUGGGGGCUGCGUUUGAUACGUGAUGGCUUGCGUUCGGAAGAGGGUCGUGGAAUUCCCAGUGUAGAGGUGAAAUUCGUAGAUAUUGGGAAGAACACCGGUGGCGAAGGCGGCGACCUGGUCCGAUACUGACGCUGAGGCGCGAAAGCGUGGGGAGCAAACAGGAUUAGAUACCCCUGUAGUCCCUGUCUCUUAUAC
rnacentral:rRNA from 1 species